AUCUGGAAUACUCCAAAGGGAAGACAUUAUUAACAUCUUUAGAAAUAAUGUUUGGUCACUUUAUUCCUACUAGCAUCCCUAAACCUUCUAUUUCUGGAUUGAGUGAACAUUAUAGGGGCUUAAGUGAAAAAUUCAAUGCUGUUGAUGUGAUAUGGGCCAGGAGUGAAAGAUCAAGAAAGAUUUCUUGAGAUGGUACAAAAAAAGUGUUUUUAUUAUACCAUGGUACAGGACCUGGGGGCAGAAGAGCUGCAAUGUGAUUGUGAGAAGUGAUUAUACUUUAAAUUGGCGGGGAGGGGGCAGAGAUAAAGGAAGUUUCCAAAAGGAUUUUCAUAUCUUAAAGAAGACUUAUAGGAUUGUACAGGUCAGGCCAAUGUCAAGCUAAGGUUGCUUUUUGCCUGUAGCAAAGCAUUAACUUAAGGCAGCUGUGAGUUCCUGAGGAAUGUCAUACUCUGCCUACCUCAAGUAUUUUCAAUGGGCUGCAAGUUCUAAGGAGAUUUCAUUUUAUCUGCAUUUCUUUUGCCUUUGUUCUCCACAUCACCAUGACUAGCUAUAUACAAGAACUAACUAGUUUAAUUGGAGGAUAUCAUCAGCAAGUUACAAUGGCAUGGCCUCUGCUGACUGGCCAUCCCUUUUGACCAGAAGAUUAGAUGUACAUCAAGGCGUUUAGAAGAAAGCAUUGUCACCUCACUGAGAAGACCAUUAUGAUGUACUGCUAACCACUCACACUGCCAGCAAAAUAAAAGAAAAACCCUCCUAGACUCACACAAACCAUGCCAAGUUAGACCAGGAUUAGCACUUCCAGGACAACUGGAAGACCACCCCUUAAGUUGACCUUAAAAUCAUGAAAAAGAACUUGAAAUUAAUUUUUAUUCCUGCCAAUAAGACCAACUGGUGGACCAACUCUGGAAAAUGGAUGCAUGACAGGGUAUGGCAUCCAUGACCAGAAAAACACAUCACUUCUCUUUUUGAUAUUUCACAACCUGUUCUGCACCUAUGGACUGACAAGGAUACACGGAAGACAAAGAUGUGCAGAUAACAACAUGACAGGUAAGAAGAUACACCAAACCCCAAUUUAAUAGACUCUUGGCUGCUAAUCCAAUUCUUCCUUCCAGUGCCACAAAUUCAGCUUUUUAAGAAACUUUCAGAGGAAAUGAAGGAGUUCAGAGCAUGUCACCCCAAAAUAUGCUGUUUUAGCAUAUUGAUUAUUUUAAGUUAAAGGAGCUUGAGAAACAGCAGGUACAAGAGGGGCACUCUGACCUUCCUUAUUCUUCCAGGCAGGAGAUAAAACUCCCACGUCAAAGAUCCCCUCCCUCUACCAGGAGGAAGAAAAUCAUUCCCCUCACCAGAGAUGGGGAAUCACGCUGAGAAAUCUGUACAAACAAGACUUGUUACACUAAUGCUUAUCCUCCUAGUCAUUUCUCCACAGUUUACUACCCCUGGCCCAAACUCCUUGGCCUUACUUGGUUCUUUGUCUAAAAGAUAUAAAAGCGUUCUGUUCUGGUCA